UUUGUGUAGAACUUGGUAUAAACAGAUCUUUCUUUUCUUUUCAGAAAUUACUAAGCUCUGUUGGUGCCACAGCUGAUCCUUCUUCAGUUCCAGAGGCGUCUUCUGGUGCCAGCAGCUCUUGACAGUGGUACUUCACUGGUGCUUGAGGGACUUUAACGGACGGAUGACAGGCAGCAAAGACUGGCCAGAACGAGAGAGAAAUGGGGCUGCUGUUUGGAACAUGGAUGCCCUGGUGGUUUGCUUGCUACUGUGCCACAUACAACUGCAGAAGAAAGGAACGCACUGACAUUAAAAGAUCCUCAUUUGCUCCGUGUUGUCUCUGCAUCUGUUCCUACUGAGUUCUCCUCUCGCAUUCAUUACAAUUGAUUCUAAAUUAUCUUGACACCAUUUUCUAGUCUAUAAACAAAAAACCUUCCCCAUACUUCUCAGGGAAGGUCAAAGCCCCUUGCUGAGGACAUGAUCAUCGUAGCAGAUGAGAGAGAGAAACUUUUAUCUAGCAAAAGAACUGGUGCUGCAUCCUGACUGAUAAUGUAGCAACAAUCGAUCAAAUGGUAAUUCCUAUUAAAAAGCACUCUAUGAGGGGGAAGAAAUGUUUUCAUUUUGAUAAAUAAAGAAAAAAACUACA